CUCCUUCUAUUGUGGCAAAGUGGAGCAGGAGGAAGUGAAUGCUAGGAUGUGAACAGACCAAGCCAGGAUGAGGAUGGAGCCAACAUGAAGACAACAGCAGUCUGUAAACUUUUUUUUUCUUUUUACACUAUCAGUUGUUUCCUUGUUUUUGGCAAAUGAGAAAUUGCUAAGAACUGCCAGGUAUUUGUUCAUUAUGAUCUUUUACACUUUCUUUUAAAGUGGACUUAAUAUCUAUGCUUUGGUGGGAUUGAGAAUCAUGCGUCACUAUUGUGAUGUUUUUUUGCUAUCACAGUGUAACUCACAGAUAUUCAGUGAUGUAGUUGAAAAGGAUGUUUUUCAGAAACAGAUGGAUCAGAAAGUAUCAUGGGGCAGCACUCAGUCAGUCGUAUGUCUGGAAUUCCGCUAGUUCUGAACUAUUCGUGAUUGGCAAAAGUUCACUACUAGCAGAACUCGGAUAUACAACUGAAUUCUCAACGAAAGCUCAAGAUUAGCACAGUUUGGUCUCACAUGGCCUGCCAUUGGACAGCUGCUAUAUUCACGGUAUUUAAAAAAUACAUUUGAAUGAAAUUAAUCCAUAUAAUAGAUGUUAAUCUAACAUGGGCAAAACUUUGCUUUCACUGCUCAUUGUUUCUCUAACAUCAUUUGUGGUUUAAUUUCUAGAUGAACUAUCAAGUUGAUCUUGUUCUUGAUUUGAUUGUGUUAGGCUGGAUUGAAAAUGACAAAAGCUCACUUCAUAUUCUUUCUUUGCACUUUUCUCUUGAUUUGGAAGUGAUCUACUUAUCGGAUGAAGUACCAGAAGUUAAGACCAUCUUUGGAUGUGCUACUCCAUUAAUCAUAACUGAAGGGCUACAGACUUGAUUACAACCAGACAUAUGAGAUACUUCUCUGUUUUCAUGUUUUAGCUGUGGUAAAAUGGUGUGGUCUGUUUGAAACAGGAAGAAAUAAGACCAAUGUAACAUAUUUAAUAUAUAAACUAUAUAUUAAAUAUAUAUACUCUUCAACUGCUACAUUUAACAACACAAUUCUUUCUUUCUUUGCAUUUAUUGUACAUUUUUAAUGAUAAUAAUGAAUUUCUACUAAUUCUACUGGUUCAGCAAGCCAAGACCAAGUUACAAAAAUUCCUAUUGUGUCUAUGUUUAUUAUUUACAAUCACUGUAAAAU